GAUCUUUAUUUUUGUUUAUUAUAAUUUUUUAAGGAUUAUUAGAAUUAUAUUAUAAUUAAAAAUUUUGCUGGGGUGGUAUAAAAAUUUAAUUAACUUUUAAUUUUAUUAAACAUUAAUAUAUGGGUAAUUGAUCCAAUUUUAUUGAUUAAAAAUUUAAGUUACCUUAGGGAUAACAGCGUAAUUUUUUUUUAGAGUUCAUAUCGACAAAAAAGAUUGC
rnacentral:rRNA from 1 species